rnacentral:lncRNA from 1 species
UCCGAACCAUCUGAGUCUUGUUUCCCGCAUCUUGUCCUCCAUAGGCGCCACUCGCACCCUCUCUCUAAUAACUUCAUUCCUAAUCUUAUCCAUCCUUGUAUGCCCACACAUCCAUCUCAACAUCCUCAUCUCCACUACUUGCAUCUUCUGGAUGUAUGACUUCUUACCCGGCCAAUACUCGGUCCCAUACAAAAUGGUAGGUCUAACCACUGCUCUAUAAAACUUACCUUUUAGUAUCUGUGGCACUUUUCUAUCACACAGGACUCUCGUUUCUAACCUCCACUUCAUCCACCUCAUCCCUAUACGGUGUGUGACAUCCUCCUCGAUCUCCCCGGACCCCUGAAUAACUGACCCAAGGUACUUGAAACUACCCCUCUGAGGGAUGACUUGAGAGUCAAGCCUCACUUACACUCCUAUGUCCGUCGGUAAGUUUUAUAGAAGCGUGCAGAAAAUUAUUUAUUUCUUAGUAAAAAUCGGUAUUGUUUUAGACGAGUGAGAUAGUUCUGGUUUAAAGUUCCUAUAUGCAUGAUUUCUUUGAGUUACUAAUUUUAAUACCUUUACAAACGUUAACAGCCAUGUAGACAUAAUAUAUGUAUGCUGAUUUUUAUUGAACCUAGUGGUUUGCCAAAUUAAAAU